UUUAAAAAAUGUGUAAAAAAGACAUUAGUUAUCUCGGUACUUACCAUGCUUGAGGCUGGGCGUUAUCCAUUGGCCAUUCCGGUGAAAAGCAACAUUAAAUAUUGUUGCUUCUGUUACAAACCCUUGAUGGUUGUAUAACAGAACGUCUUGUGCUUUUGAGUAUUGGGCAUCAUUGCGGUUCAUUGCUUCAAUGUAAAUUGCUCGGUUGGUCAUCUUAUUAAUGCAGGACGGGUUUUUCUCGGUAGAACUUGGUUGCUUAUCCAGAAUUAAUGUGUACGGUGCUUUUUCUAAAGUUUGAAUAGGAACAAUUUGAACAGUAACGUCUCCAGCUUUAGAAAGUUCCCACCUUACCUAUUAUGUUUAGAUCAAUGUAUAAAGUUUAUAGCAAGCAUACUUACCCUUGCCAUGGAAGUAUCCUGAACCGCUUCUCGUAAUUUAUUUUCGAUGUAUUGCUCUCCAGGCCAAGAGUAUCCAAGAGACUUUGCCGAAGCUUUCAUUCGCUGCAAGUGGCUUGGCAGCAAAAACAGUUCUCCAUCAUAGAGAGUGGUUUCAAAUAAAUUUGAUUCUUCCAUUCCACUGUGCUGGUCAGAAUUAUUCUAAAGUAAAAAAACCCAAAGAGUAGAAAGACUUAGAAUUUCAUAUUUAUUGACAAUAGAAUUUAGUGACAAAAAUUCAAAAACUUACAAACUAAAUCCUUGACUAUACUACUUAUCAACUGAUGUAGUUAGUGGUAGCAAAAAUCGAUUGCUCAGGCACAGUAUAUUGUGUGUAAGUUGUAUAGUAGUGGAGAAACUUCGAAAAAAUAUCAACAGAAGAGAGAACUUAUGAGUAGCACACUUAGAAAAUUGGACA